rnacentral:tRNA from 1 species
GGGCCCGUAGCGCAGUCUGGUAGCGCGUCGGCCUUUUAAGCCGGUGGUCGUGGGUUCGAAUCCCACCGGGCCCG